AUUCUAUCUUAUUCCACAGUAC
rnacentral:miRNA from 1 species